rnacentral:rRNA from 1 species
GACGUAGGGUGCAAGCGUUGUCCGGAUUUAUUGGGCGUAAAGAGCUCGUAGGCGGCUUGUCGCGUCGACUGUGAAAACCCGCGGCUCAACCGCGGGCCUGCAGCCGAUACGGGCAGGCUAGAGUUCGGUAGGGGAGACUGGAAUUCCCGGUGUAGAGGUGAAAUUCGUAGAUAUCGGGAGGAACACCGGUGGCGAAGGCGGCGACCUGGGUAGAUACUGACGCUGAGGCGCGAAAGCGUGGGGAGCAAACAGG